AGCCAGAGAGCAGUGAUUGGUCAGACUGACUGCGAGUCAGAGAGCAGCGAUUGGUCAGACCAUAGAUAAUAUAGGAGACAGCACGCUAGCGUAUCUAGUCUAUGUAUAUCUGUGGUCGGCACGUCUGGUAGCAUCUCUGGCUGCUGUUGACCUUGUUUUUGGAGUAAAACACGGUGGAAGCUGAAUUAGUGAGGAUGACUCCUGCUCCUGUCAUCUCUAAGCUCCUCACACAUCUUUACCUGCACAUGAGGAAAAUCACUCCUGUAGAAUGCAGAUGUUCAGAGGGAGAUGAUGCCACAUCUGGUCCAGCUGAUGGAAGGUCUUGAAGUUCUCUGACUGGCCUCGACUGAAGAUGGUCGUCUCACUGGAUUUAAGGUUCAGAUGCUCAGUAACAAACUCCACCAAUGUGCCAACAAGGAAGCUUUAGGUUUAUUAAAUGUUGCUAUGAAGGUUUCGCUGUUUUUCUUUGUGAAUGCAAUGUGCUCCAACUGAAACUUGAAUUAGAACUUAGAAAUAAAUCCUUCCAUCUGAAAGGAUUUAGUUGCAUUAAUAACCUCAUAACAUUCUAAUUUUUAUUCCAGUCUUGGUUGAAAAUAGAAUCUCUGUAUUGAUUCAGGUAAAAACUGAACUUCACAGUAUGUUGGAGCAAAACAACCAGAUGAAAACUGUGAUGGUGUUGGAUUGUCAGACCGUAAUGUUGCAGCUCAAAGCAGCUUUUCUAGCUCAGUUCAUUCUGACAUUCAGCUAUGAAUCAACACAGCAGAUGGUGAUCCAUGCUGUGGAAGUCUCACAUCUCCUGAUUUAAUGGAGCUGCUUUGCACUUUUUACACUGUUUAUUCACCAACACUUUAUUUAAUAAAAGUCCCAUCUAGUUUUUAUGAGGAAUGUGAUGUUUUAAUUUCUCUGUGAAUAACUGCAGUCUAAUGCAACAGCUGGAGUUGUAACAUCUGUCCUGAUAUUGAUCAUGAAGUAUUGAUCAGAAUACUUAUGGUUAGCAGUCAUUUUACAUUAAAAUCUUUACUUGUGUUGUGAACUUUGGUAAGAAGCAGAAACGUUAGCGUUGCCAUGGAUAUAAGAGUGUUAAAUUCUGUCCAUGUUUCCAUUUUGGGAAAUGCAGUCCAGUUCCAGAAUGUGGAGGAAUUUAGUCUCACAAUCACAGACAACAAAUAUUAUCUGAAAGUCGGGUUAUUGUUGUUUAUCAGCACAAUACAAAAAGGUUAAUGUUAGAAAUAUUCCAGUUAAGACUCUAGAAUAUCAUGAUUUAUGUAAAUUUACCUCAAUAAUAUGAAUGUUCAGGUUAAGAUUGUACAGUGAUAUUAUGUAAGUUUAGCUAAUUAAUGUUUAUAACUCUGCACUGAAAUAUUAUUUAAAUUGACAUCAUUAUUAUAAUAUUUAGGGUCAGACCCUACAGUAUUGAGAUUAAGAAAUCAAAUAUUCUAUAAAAUGUAAAUACACUGAACUCAUUUGGAUAUAUUUAAGUGAGACUACAAUAUUAUUUGACACAAAUCUAUCUAAAUCAAAAUUCUAAUAAUUUUCACGCCAAACAUUUACUGGACUGAUUUAAACAUUAAAAUCACUCCUUUCUAAUCCUCUGCUGUACGUUCAAACCUGAGGCCUUAAAUAGAAACACACAAGUAUCUGAUUGAAGGAACUUCUGCAGAGUCCUGGUUCCAGAACAUGAUGAUAGAAUUAUAGACAAACUUUAACAAAAGCUGCCUGAGAGUUUACAGGUUUUUAUGUUGGAUUUCUUCAGUAAUUUAAUGAGCGUUAUCAGCAAUAAUCAAGUGUUCAUUUGAUGAACUUCAUUCCCUAAAACAUACAGAAUUGGAGCUCAUAUCUUUGACAGCUGUAAAGUUUCUGCUCCUUCAAAGUUCACAACACAAUGAAUGAAUUCCUAAAACACUCUCAAUGCUGAAGCAGUGAUCAGUUUUUCUGUUUCUUCUCUGGAGAUGCACAAUGAGGGACGUCUGCAGAGACUGAGAAAGAGUCUCACCACAUCCUGACAUGAGAAAAAGACUUUAUUGAAGACUACAAUGAGAAAAACUGUCAGACAGCAGACGGCUGCAUUCAAGGCUACAGGAGGAGCCCUACGAGGACGAGCCGGUCCACCUGAUGGAGGCCAGUCGCUGCGGUUCAAAGCCAACACCGACUACGUGGACUUCUACUGGACCACACGGAGGCCUUCAAACCGGACCAACAAGUUCACGACUCCCC
ensembl:lncRNA